ensembl:lncRNA
GGGAAUUUCAACUAUCCUGCUAUUUGCUGGAAGAGCAAUACUGGCAGACAUACACAGUCCAUGAAGUUCCUGCAGUAUGUGAAAGAUAACUUUCUGAUACAGGUGGUGGUGAUGGUGGUGAUGAUGAUCCUGUGAGAAGAGAUGCCUUCUUGUGAGUAAGGAAGGUACUGGAGCUAGUCUUGUUCAACAUCUUCAUCAGUGGCCUGGAUGAAGGGACAGAGUACACCCUCAGCAAGUUUGCUGAUGAUGCAAAGGUUUGCAUACAUUUGCACCACUACCAAGUGACCUCGGUUUUCUUCUUGCAGCCUACUGGAGAACUAAGUGCUUGCUGUGCAACACAGAUUGCAUAUUUGGAAAACAAGUCUAUAUCUACAUAAGUGUAUGGGUUGAAAACAGGGGCAUGCUGUGUACUGGUGGGGCUGCCAGGAAGCUCACUUCAGUACCUUCGGCACCAGUGGGGAGUAAUGCAUGUCAGGUGUCAGAGCAAACUCAAGAUUGGACGCAAAUAUGGCUAAUUCUACACUGUAACAAGUGACAAGGGAGGGUGAAACACUGGAUGCUAACUGGAAACUCCUCCAGAGCUGGCAAACAGCUCUCAGUGGCCAAAAGCCAAUAAGCAGCUCUGCUCCAUCAAGUCACAAAGCCUCUAACCUAAGGACAGUGGGAACAGCAAUGCGUCUGUUCCUACG